CAGCAGCCGCGGUAACACGUAGGGUGCGAGCGUUAAUCGGAAUUACUGGGCGUAAAGCGUGCGCAGGCGGUUGUGUAAGACAGGUGUGAAAUCCCCGGGCUUAACCUGGGAACUGCGCUUGUGACUGCACAGCUAGAGUAUGGCAGAGGGGGGUGGAAUUCCACGUGUAGCAGUGAAAUGCGUAGAGAUGUGGAGGAACACCGAUGGCGAAGACAGCCCCCUGGGCCAAUACUGACGCUCAUGCACGAAAGCGUGGGGAGCAAACAGGAUUAGAUACCCGCGUAGUCCCUGUCUCUUAUAC
rnacentral:rRNA from 1 species